UACGAAGGGGGCUAGCGUUGUUCGGAUUUACUGGGCGUAAAGGAUGCGUAGGCGGACAUUUAAGUCAGAUGUGAAAUACCCGAGCUUAACUUGGGUGCUGCAUUUGAAACUGGGUGUCUAGAGUGCAGGAGAGGUAAGUGGAAUUCCUAGUGUAGCGGUGAAAUGCGUAGAGAUUAGGAAGAACACCAGUGGCGAAGGCGACUUACUGGACUGUAACUGACGCUGAGGCAUGAAAGCGUGGGGAGCAAACAGG
rnacentral:rRNA from 1 species